UACGAAGGGGGCGAGCGUUGUUCGGAAUUACUGGGCGUAAAGCGUGCGCAGGCGGUUUGUUAAGUCCGUUGUGAAAUCCCCGAGCUCAACUUGGGAAUUGCAAUGGAUACUGGCGAGCUGGAGUAUGGUAGAGGAAGGUGGAAUUCCCGGUGUAGCAGUGAAAUGCGUAGAGAUCGGGAGGAACACCAGUGGCGAAGGCGGCCUUCUGGACCAAUACUGACGCUCAUGCACGAAAGCGUGGGGAGCAAACAGG
rnacentral:rRNA from 1 species